AUGAGCAGCUUCCGCCGCCCUUCCCGCUCGCCGGCGGCGGCGGCGCCGCUGGACGACGAAGAUCUGCUGUCCGAGAUCCUCCUCCGCCUCCCCCCUCAGCCCUCCUCCCUCCCGCGCGCCUCGCUCGUCUGCAAGCGCUGGUGUUGCCUCGUCUCUGACCCCCGAUUCCUCCGCCGAUUCCGCCGCCAUCACCGCCGCAACCCUCCCCUCCUCGGCUUCUUCUUUGAGGAAGUGAUUCCUGCCCGCGGGAUCUCCUUCGUACCAACUCUGGAGCCCCCCAACCGUGUCCCCGUCGGGCGCUUCUCUUUGCAGUUCGACGACGGCGACCGCUACAGGCUCCUCAACUGCCGCCAUGGCCUCGUGCUCAUCUUGUUCGGGAAGCACAACCAGGCCCUGGUGUGGGACCCUGUCAACGGCGACCAGCACCGCGUUGCCGUUCCCCCAAGCUUCUACAUGGCGGCGCCGACCCGGGUCAGAGGGGCAGUGCUCCGGCCUGCCGGAGACAUCCGCCACUUCCAAGUCGUCUUGAUAGGCACGCACAAAGAACAGCAUAAACCAGGGAUCGCCUGCGUUUACUCCUCGGAGACCAAGGAAUGGGGUAAUCUUGUCUCAACACCGCUCCCACCCGAGAAUUCUAUUUACAGCUUUCGCACCAUUGUUUAUAGGGGCAUGGCCUGCGUCCUGGUUGGGAAUUGCCUCUACUGGCUGCUUUCUGAGAGAUCAGCUCUCAUCCUGGAGUUUGAUUUGGAUAUGCAGAGGCUAGCUGUGAUACAUGCGCCAGUGGACAUCGGUGCCAAUAGCAAUUGCCACUUCUCAGUUAUGAGAGCCGAGGGCGGUGGUCUUGGUUUCCUCUUUCUGUCAGAUUUCAACGCCCAAAUAUGGAGCAGGAAGAAGGAUUGUGAUGCUGCUGUUUCAUGGGUGCUCAGAAGAACUGUUCAGCUGGAUAAGCUACUUCCCCUCAAACAAGGGAUGGGCGUAGUGCCCCUGAUACUACUGUUACUAGGGUUGGCUGAGGACAAUAAUGUGUUGUUCCUGAUGGCAGAUGCCGGCAUCUUCAUGGUCCAGCUUGAGUCAUUGCAGUUCAAGAGACUUUCCAAGAUCAGCUUCUGGCGUCAUCUUCAUCCAUUCGAAACUGUCUAUACUGCAGGUAAUAGCACACCAUUACACUCUGCCCGUACAAAAAAAAAUACAAAAAAAAAACCCGGAAUGCUGCUCACUUCAUUCCGUGUUAAGCUAACAAUUUCUUGUAGUGUCUUGCACCAGUUAUUUCUUUUGCUGCUUGAUGAUUUGUUCAUUAUAUAG
rnacentral:rRNA from 1 species